ACCUGGCAGCAUAAACAUUCAAAAUAUACUUGUCAAACAUAGUUGGCAACCUAUAGGCAACACUGUCACUGUACCUAUAAAUUGCUGAGUUUUUACUUUUCCAACCAAGUUAUGUUACCGAUGUCACUAUUGUGUUGAAAAGGUGACAUCGGCCAGCAUGUGUUUAUUAGAAUCUGUUAAGGCUCAUGUAUCAUCUAGGUUCAUAUUGGCCCAUCUCAUGGCUAUAUAUACACAUUCAACCUAAUGGCGUGAUUAUCUUCUCUAUUCCCCCAAGGUUAGUAACAUGGUAUCAGAGCAUGAUUUAGGGUUAGGGUUAGGCUUAAUCUAAUCCACCCGAAUCUAUUUUUCACCGUCCUCGCCACCAGGUUGCCUGCCAUAGCGUGUCCUGGCCUUUUUUUCCCAUCACAGCCUGUCGUUGUUCAAUCGAUUGCCAUCGCGGUCUAUUAGGUCGCCGUCGCGACCGUCUUCGUUCGUCAGGCGACUAUCGCGGCCGCCCCACCCUCAGAUCACCGUCGCCUCGCACCUUGUAGUGACCGUCUUCGUUGGCUAUCGCGGCCGCCUUGACCUCAGGCCACCCAAUGCUGCACUCCUUGGAUCCGCCUGUCGUGGAGUUCAUCUUCAAGCUGCCCGUUGCAACCUCCAUCCAAGCACCACCCGUUACAGCCGUCAUGGAGUUGCUCCUAGGCAAACCCGCCGCCUUCUGAUUCAAUUGCUUCCGCACAUCAGGCCGCCGUCAGGGUCUCUCCGUCGUCUCUGCCUGUACGUCGGCUUUCAUCAACUACCACCGGCCCUUAUCUCCAUCCCCAGCUGCCAUCUGCAGUUGCUGCUGUGUCUACUGUUCCUGUAUGGUCUGUGGGCUGCCAUCGAAGUAUUGUUGCUACCGUGGGCUUGCUGUUGUGGGCUGUUUGCUGCUGCACUUGUUCCUGUGUGGGGAUCGAUCCGACUGCCUGCUGUUUUAUCCUGGCACUUGUUCAGUACUGCUGCUGGUGAGCUUUGAUGGUGUUGUUGCUGUGCUCAUCCCCUGCAAGAACAGAGGUAUUCCUCCAUUACUACUGUUGGUAACAUCUCUAUUGCAGCACAAAUCCUUUUAGCACUUCAACCAUGUCACAGCUCAAUACAACUGCUAUCAAUAUCACUCUUGAUGGUCAAAAUUAUCGGGAGUGGGCAUUUUGUGUAGAGACUGCAUUGAGGGGUUAUGGUCUAGCAUUUCAUUGAACCGAUGAUCCACCCAUAUGUAAGUCUGAUGGUUUUAAUGCUGCUGAAAUCAAAACAUGGCAAAUUAAUGAUGGCAAGGUGAUGGCUGCCGUGGUCAAUAGCACUAAGCAAUCUAUGAUUAUGAGCUUUUCUAAGUUUAAGACAAUGAAGACCAUGUGGUCUUCAUUGCAACGGCGCUAUGUUCAGGAUAGUGGUGCCCUUUUGCACUCUCUCAUGCAGCAAAUCCAUGUAAUUGAAUAGAAUGAUAUGUCCAUUGAUGAGUACUACUCUGCUUUUGAUCGUUUGAUGGGUCCCUUGAUCACCAUGGUACCUCAAUGCACAGCGGAGGAGUGUACAACUCAAACAUUUAUUGAAAAGUUUCUUACAUACCGAUUUGUCAUGGGAGUAAGGGCAAAAUUUGAGUCCAUUCGUACAUAGUUGCUUCACAAUUCUUCUACUCUAACCAUGGCACAAGCACUAUUUGAUUUGAUUGCUGAAGAGACCUGUCUCAAGUCCAUGUCUGCUGCUUGUGUCAAUACCUCAUAGUGUGCUGGCAGCUUCCUAGAGGAUCAGUGCAUCUAGAGGUAGCUCUUCAGAGCCUUGUGAGCAUUGCAAGAAGACUGAUCAUCGUUCAGAAAAUUGUUUAGCUCAGCAUCCAGAGAAAUUGAUCGAGUAUCGUGCACAUCAUGCUCGUAGGCGUGGGGCUUCUUUUCAUGUGACAUUUGAUCAGUCCCUGUUGGUUGCUUGCAAGAUGGUCACUGAUGGUGCUUCUAUUCAGACAGCUGAUAGUACAUCUUGUCAUAUCACUCAUCAGGGUUCACUUUGCAAUUCUCAUUUUUCUGUACCCGAUGUUUCUUUUGUACCUAAGUUGCUCGUGAAUCUUCUUUCAGUAGGUCAAGUUACCAAUCAUAACUGCUUUGUUGGAUUUGAUGACUCAUCUUGUUUUAUUCAGGAUCGUCGAAGCGGGAUUGUGAUUGGGACUGGCCAUCACGUAGAGGUGCUCACAGCCUUUAUGUUUUGGACACCUUGCAUCUUCCUUCUUCCGUUACCCCUACUGCUCAUAUGUCAUCUGAUCCGUCGUCAUACGAUUCUUCCUUCGCUAAGUAGCAUCAUCGUCUUGGUCAUCUAUGUGGGUCUCGAUUGUUUACAUUAAUAAAUAAAGAUUGUUUAGAUCAUACAUCUAUCGAGUCUAGCUUUCAUUGUAAAGGUUGCAAGCUUUGAAAAAAGAUACAACUUCCAUAUUCCUCUAGUGCUUCUCAUUCUGCUAGACCUUUUGAUCUUAUUCAUUCAGAUGUAUGGGAUCCUGCACCUUUUGCUACAAAGGACGGUCAUAAGUAUUAUGUCAUUUUUAUUGAUGAUCAUUCUCGA